AGGGUGUAAACGCUGCAGACUUGGUGUUGGAGGCCCUUUGGGGGCAUUCAGUGCCGGAGAGAAGUUGUUAAGUCUGCUACUUGGGGAGUACGUCCGCAAGGAUGAAACUUAAAGGAAUUGGCGGGGGGAGGCACCGCAACGGGAGGAGCGUGCGGUUUAAUUGGAUUCAACACCGGAAAACUCACCAGGGGAGACUGUUACAUGAAACCCAGACUAAUGAUCUUGGUUGAUUUCAGAGAGGAGGUGCAUGGCGUCAGUGACU
rnacentral:rRNA from 1 species